AACGAACGCUGGCGGCAGGCUUAACACAUGCAAGUCGAACGCAUCGCAAGAUGAGUGGCAACGGGUGAGUAACGCGUGGGAAUCUACCCAGUUCUACGGAACAACAGUUGGAAACGACUGCUGAUACCGUAUACGCCCUACGGGGGAAAGAUUUAUCGGAAUUGGAUGAGCCCGCGUAAGAUUAGCUAGUUGGUGGGGUAAUGGCCUACCAAGGCGACGAUCUUUAGCUGGUCUGAGAGGAUGAUCAGCCACACUGGGACGGAGACACGGCCCAGACUCCUCCGGGAGGCAGCAGUGGGGAAUAUUGGACAAUGGGCGCAAGCCUGAUCCAGCCAUGCCGCGUGAGUGAUGAAGGCCUUAGGGUUGUAAAGCUCUUUCACCGAUGAAGAUAAUGACGGUAGUCGGAGAAGAAGCCCCGGCUAACUUCGUGCCAGCCGCCGCAGUAACAC
rnacentral:rRNA from 1 species